rnacentral:rRNA from 1 species
UACAGGGGGUGCAAACGUUGCUCGGAAUCAUUGGGCGUAAAGCGCACGUAGGCGGUUCGUUAUGUCGGAUGUGAAAGCCCUUGGCUUAACCGAGGAAGUGCAUCCGAAACUGGCGAGCUAGAGUACUAAAGAGGAUCGCGGAAUUCCCGGUGUAGAGGUGAAAUGCGCAGAUAUCAGGAGGAACACCAAUGGCGAAGGCAGCACUCUGGGACGUGACUGACGCUGAGACGCGAAAGCGUGGGGAGCAAACAGG